ensembl:lncRNA
UAAAAUUGUUUAUAAAAAUAUGCUUCUUGUAUGUAAUAUCUUCUCUGUAUUUUCUUAUUUAUCAGAAAAUCUUAUGGAUUGGACUACUCUUUCUUCAUGACUGAAAUUUUCAGCAAGACUUCUGCAUUGUUGCAAUUCUCUCAUGACACAUUGACAUGUUCCUUGCAGCACGGCAUUUAGCAUGAGAGUGCUGGGACUCUUGUUAGUUCUUGCAGAGGAAGCAAUUAUAAAUCACACAGGAGGCUGAUAGACAAGGAAUGAAUUUCUCCACCCCACAAAAGUCUAAGAGACAGUGCUGUGAAGAGACAAAACAGAAUUUCACAUCUUGAGCUAAAUACUGCAAGAUUUGGGACAGAAUCAGAAGACCCAGAAAAAGUUUCUGUUUUUAUGGAAAUCAAAAUUGUGGUAACAAGAAUUCUUCUGGAAAUGUGGUCCUUUCAUUACUCUUGUAAGAUAAACAGAAAAGACAUGCAUCCAAAAAAAUGAAUUGAUCUUCAACAUAUGCCCUUUGAAGUUAUUGUGAUGAACCAUUAAUAGAGUUCCUCACAGAGAAUCUACUUUUGAUCAGCAGUAGUAUAUGUCAGGGAUUUGUCCUCAAAAACAGAUUCCACCAUAGAACACCUGUCCAGACCCUUCUAUGAAUAUAGUUUCUCUAUACCAAGGAUAAAUCAACAACCUCCACAUGAAUUUGAAACUAAUACUAAAGUGUGCUAUUAAAGUAAUG